AGUAACAUGCCUGAAUUUAGGGUCAUCUUGUUAGGAUAAAAUAUGUAUAUUUAUAUUUUUACUA